AUUGAACGCUGGCGGCAGGCCUAACACCUGCAAGUCGAGCGAGCGGCGGACGGGUGAGUAAUGCCUGGGAAUUGCCCAGUCGAGGGGGAUAACAGUUGGAAACGACUGCUACUACCGCAUACGAUUUGAUUGCCCAGGUGGGGUUAGCUAGUUGGUGGGGUACUGGCUCACCAAGCCGACGAUCCCUAGCUGGUCGGAGAGGAUGAUCAGCCACACUGGAACGGAGACACGGUCCAUACUCCUACGGGAGGCAGCAUUGGGGAAUAUUGCACAAUGGGGGAAAGCCUGAUGCAGCCAUGCCGCGUGUGUGAAGAAGGCCUUCGGGUUGUAAAGCACUUUAAGCGAGGAGGCGUUACUCGCAGAAGAAGCACCGGCUAACUCCGUGCCAGCAGCCGCGGUAAUUC
rnacentral:rRNA from 1 species